rnacentral:lncRNA from 1 species
UUGACUGUACCCAGCUCUGGCUGCUGCUUCUAACGGCUCCUUAUAUCUGCCUGUGACUUCUCCGGGAGGAGCGGGUGCCAAACACAACAUUUAUUCUCUUGGCAAUCUUCUGCUGAAACAAACAAACAACAACAACAAAAAAAAAACAGGGAUCCCCAAUCUUAUAUCCAAAAAGGAAUUAAGUGCUUCCUAUUAACUCUUUGAAUGAGCCUCUAAGCCUUAGUGCCUAGGAUUACCUCAAACACAAAUGAAAGGCAUCUCUAGCUGACAGCUCGAUUCCAGCUUUGCAAAACCUUGAGGUUGAGUCUUGUCUCCCACUCUUAAGUACAGAGCCAUCAUCAGCUUCUAUGGAGGUUGGCUGUGGUGCAGCAGCAGAGAAUGGUGCAGGAUACAAGUAAGGUUGAUGGCAAAUGGAUUGGUGUGUGAAUUUUGACACAUAGAUUCAAGCUUGCUCUAGAGUCUUACUCGUAAACUUAUCAUGAGUCAAUACAAAGCGGUCUUGAUUUUCCUAUUUUAAAUGGGUGCCUCAGGGAAGCUGAGGUGAGCAGAGGGCACUGAGCAGGCAUGCUGCUCAGGAGUGAGGAGGAGGUUGCUAUGGUUUCCAUCAGCCACUGUCUCCAGGAUCCUGAAGGCAACCUCUUUUCCUUCUGUCAAAGGCAAGCGCUGGGAGAGCAUGUGGUCCCGGAGGCAUGGAAGCCCACUGAAGUAGAGUUAAA